rnacentral:rRNA from 1 species
AUUGAACGCUGGCGGAAUGCUUUACACAUGCAAGUCGAACGGCAGCACGGACUUCGGUCUGGUGGCGAGUGGCGAACGGGUGAGUAACAUAUCGGAACGUAUCCAAUAAUGGGGGAUAACGAGUCGAAAGAUUCGCUAAUACCGCAUACGCCCUACGGGGGAAAGCUGGGGACCUUCGGGCCUGGCGUUAAUGGAGCGGCCGAUAUCUGAAUAGCUAGUUGGUGAGGUAAAGGCUCACCAAGGCGACGAUCAGUAGCUGGUCUGAGAGGACGACCAGCCACACUGGAACUGAGACACGGUCCAGACUACUACGGGAGGCAGCAGUGGGGAAUUUAGGACAAUGGGCGCAAGCCUGAUCCAGCCAUUCCGCGUGAGUGAAGAAGGCCUUCGGGUUGUAAAGCUCUUUCGCAAGGGAAGAAAACUUAGCCACUAACAUUGGUUGAGGUUGACGGUACCUUGAUAAGAAGCACCGGCUAACUACGUGCCAGCAGCCGCCGUAA